CCCUUAGAUGUUCUGGGCCGCACGCGCGCUACACUGACGGAUUCAACGAGCUUACAACCUUGGCCGAAAGGUCUGGGUAAUCUCCAAAAUCCGUCGUGAUGGGGAUAGAUUAUUGCAAUUAUUAAUCUUCAACGAGGAAUGCCUAGUAAGCGCAAGUCAUCAGCUUGCGUUGAUUACGUCCCUGCCCUUUGUACACACCGCCCGUCGCUCCUACCGAUUGAAUGGUCCGGUGAAGCGUUUGGACUAUGGUUUUCUGAUGGUCCGCCGUCGGAUUACCGUGGGAAGUUCGUUAAACCUUAUCAUUUAGAGGAAGGAGAAGUCGUAACA
rnacentral:rRNA from 1 species